GAUGAACGCUGGCGGCGUGCUUAACACAUGCAAGUCGAACGGAAAGGCCUUAAAAGUGUGGGCUGAUGGAGUGGCGAACGGGUAAGUGAGACGGGAGUAACAUGCCCUAGGCUUUGGGAUAAAUUCAGGAAAAUAGGGUUAAGACAGGAUAGGAGAUACCGUAGGAUAGUGAGGGAUGGAAAGUUUGGGCGGUCGGAGAUGGAUUGGCGGGUUAUGGGCUUGCUGGUGGGGAAGUAGCUGGCCAACGCAGGGAACGGUAGGCGGCCUGUGAGGGUGACCGGCCACCUUGGGACUGAGAGACGCCCCAGACUCCUACGGGAGGCAGAAGUGGGGAGUAUUGCACAAUGAGCGGACGCCUGAUUCAGCAACGCCCCGUGCGUGAUGACGGCCUGCGGGUUGUAAACCGCUUUCGCCUGUGACGAAGCUUGAGUGACGGUAACCUAUGAAGAAGCACCGGCUAACUACGUG
rnacentral:rRNA from 1 species